ensembl:lncRNA
GGUAUACAUAGUCUCAGGAUUGGUGUGCCUCCAGGCUUGGGCGACCAGCCCUGUGUUGAUUAGUCAACUGGUUGUUAUGACUCAUAGGCCCUCCCAGAAUGGUUGUUAUGCUCUGCAAGUCACUGCUGGGCACUUGUCCGUAAACCACACCCAGAGUUGUAAAGCAUAGCCCCAAUAGCUAACUUCUCUGAUUGGUUCCAUGCCAUGAUGUGGGCAUCUGACCUCCUAGUGACCAAAGCAAGGUCAGGCAAGCACGUGUUAGCCUGUCAUGGUUGCCAAAAUGGGGGGGUCCCUUUGAUGCCUUUAAUCCCUGCACUAGGGAGAUGGAGACAGGAGGAUAUGGCUGGAUGGAAAAAAGAAUAUAAGGAGGAGGAGACAGGAAUUAAGAAACUUUUGCCUCUGAAGAUUCGUGGAGACAGGGUUGCCAUUUCAGCUGGGUAGAGGUGCUGGGAUUCUACUCAGGUCCUUACACUUGCACAGCAAGCACUCUACCGACAGAACCCUUAUUCUCUCCAGGAGGUUUAAAAUGAACCAACUUACGGCAACUCAGAACUUUCUGCUUGCUGUGGGAUCCAGGACUAUCCUCUGAGUUCAGAGAUGGUGACUCCAGGAAUAUCAUCUAUUAAGCGGUGAAUUAUCAAUACGUAACCAGACUAAGUUAAAUCAUCAUGUGGCCUCCAGAUAAAUGAAGAGAGACAAGAGCCAAAGUCCAGCUCCAGCUGGCAUCCAGGCCCAUCUCUCAGCUGACUCCUCUAACCUCGGUACUUGCAAACCCACAUAGCAUUGUCUACUUAAAAUGUGCUUGGGAAGCCAGAAUUGAAGUCUGACAGCCCCAGAAUGCUCACUGACUCAGUCUAGAUCGCCUAUACUUCACAGACAGAUCUUGGAAACAGAUCAAGAGAAGAAAUCAGGAAGUGCAGAAAUGGAACCAGCGAUUGAUACCCAGUAGUGGACAAGACUCUUCAUCUUUGCACAAAUCCAGCAGGGCUGGUGGGAGUUCACUUCGUUUUCUGAUGCAAUUCAGAUCUGGAUACUCCAUCAAAGAAGCAAAAAUCCUUGAAAUUUGGAGCCUCUGAGAUGAUGCCUGAGCAUUUUUCAGGCAACAGAGACUGCGAUUUCCAAGGCAGGCUGAAAUCACCGAGAGCAUUUCUUUCCAAACUAUUUUCUGGACUGAAUUUCACCUCUGCUCAUAAGUCUUGAUCAGAUCAAUAUGAAACCAGUGCUCACACUUUCUGACACCUUCAUCUAAAUCAUUUUUAUUUUUUUCUGCUUUGGGGUAAAAAAAAAUCUAUCUCUAAAACAGGAGCAAAGUGUAUUUUCCUGAGUCAGAAUAGUGCACACAGAAAGCCAUAUUAUUUUUUUGUCAUGUGUAAUAGACACUUAUUAUUUUACCCACAGAAGAGUCAGAUUUGAUUCCUUCCCAGGAAGGGUCAGUGAUAAGAACUUUAUGAAUCUCAAAUCCCCAGUCAGGUUUCGUCAAGUAAGGUCAGUGCUUACAGGUCUGCUCUGAAACCCACCAGACAUGGGCAUGCGCAUAUAGGCACACAGGCACAUGAACACACACACCACAAGCAUGCAUGUAUGCAUACAUACACAUGCACACACAUUUGCACACAUGUGCACAUGCACACAUGUAUGGAUGCAAGCAAAUGCAAAUGUGCUUACAAAAUACACUCAGUAGAAGUCAAAGAUUUCUAGAGCAUAAGAUAGAUGUGGCAGUCCUUGUCCAUUUUACACUGACUUAAACGGUUAUUGGGCUCUAACACCAGUAUUUCAGAGAUAAAAUGCAGACAGGGAGAAUCAUUUGGUAUUACUCCUUUUAUUCCACCCUGGGAGCUGUGCACUGGAAGUUAACUUCCAAUUUCUGGAUUCAUAGCUUACUGAGAGGAAUAUAUUUCAGACAGAUAUUUGAUGCCUACUAUGAGCAAUGACUGACUGGAAUCUGCUUUAUGCAGUUUUCAAAAUGGCGAUGAGUUGUAAAGUCAGGGCCAGACAUGUUAGCCAUUUUGUGAUGGUAGGUAUAAUUAAUAUUUUUAAACAUGUCCCUCUCAGGUGCUUUGCAAUAAUCUGGGCCUAAGUUUGUAAGUAAGUAAAUCAUGUGUCCCUUGCUGGGCUCACAGUGAAGCUGAUCCGGGUGCAGAAACACAGACACCCUCUAUAUCCAGCUUACCUAUCUCACCAGACCUGUAACUCCUGUUUGAUAUGCAGUAAGUAGACUCUUCUGGAAUAGCUGUGCUUUCCAUUUAUACACAGGUCAUAAAACAGCUCCCUCAGCCUUCUCACAGGCUGCUCGAGUUAAAACAAAUCACUGAAAGUUUGGAAUUGUGGUAAAAAUUCCUUCUAAUCAAGAAAACUCAUUUCCUGAGAUCCAGACCUUGGCAUUCUGAUACAAAGAUAAGAUGAAGUGUCUGGAAAGGAAUGUGAAGGGACCUGCGGACUAUGGGGUGCUUCCCUCUGCACCCUGGGAUUAGGCACAGACUACCCCAAACACCAAUUUCCAAGUGCAACCAAAUGCCAAGAGAUCCUUUAUUAGGCAAGGCAAAGCGAGAAGGUGGCUGAAUCUGAAUCGAGCAAAGACAGCAGCAAAUGGCUUUGCAAGCAUUAAUUUUAAGAGGGAUAAAGGGAAGGUCUGGGUUAGAAUGAACUGGGAUGUGUUGGUAGGUGCUGAUUGGGUGUUUUAGCUAGUCAAAAUGAAUUUUGGUUGCCAGGCCUUGAUGUUUUGAUCGUUGGACCUUGGUGACCCGUCUCAGGAAUGAGUCAGUGGUCAAAUAAGGGAAUAGUGGCUAGCUUUAGGGAUGUAAUCUAUCAGUUUGGCAAGGAAGAGAAGGUUAAAAGGUAAAACCUAUGGGUGCCAUAUUUGCCAUGCUUGGGCCUACUAAAGCAGUCCAGAGCACACCCCUGUUCUCCUUUUGUCUGAUGAUAACCUCUUCUGCAACUUGAUGAGAAUGUGCUGGCUUAGUUUCAAUGAAACAUGAUACAGUGCUGUUUUGUUUUUGUCUUUGAUGCAAGGUGAGCUACUCCCUUUCUCCUUUGACCUUCUUUCCACACUAUCAUAAUUCCAUUGAGAUAAUGCUAACUUUGAAGUUUGGUGUUUGAUAUGACUUGGUCCCUGUCUCUGCCCUCUAAGUUGAGGACUUCAAACUUUCUUUCUUUUUUUCCCUGGGAUCAUGUUUCAUCUUUCCUCAGUUAAUCAUCCAGCAGAAGUCAGAGAGAUGAAUUCCAAGCAUAAAUUCAACUUCUCAAGACUCAAAGGCUUGCCUUCAGCUCCCUAACACCAUGUCCCUAGCUAUGUGUCAUUAAGAGGGCACACUGAGUUCCUCAGCCUCUGGAUAUUCUAGACCCCAGGACACUGCCCUCCUACUGGUUUGACUUGUUCAUCCUAAAUAUUAACAAUAUUAAUAAAUACUAGAAAAACAUUUAAAAGUCCUCCAUCAUUUUAAAUACAACAUCCAAAUGCCUUUAUUACAAGAGUGAAAGACAAAAACAGGUACAGCACUUAGACUUUUAGAUAUUAUACACAUUUAAUCUUAGAGUAACACAAUUUGAACACGAUUCUUACUGUAUUUAAUAGUAUCUGAUACUGUAGUGAUUUGAGAGUUACCAUCACCCACUUAAAAGCUACACAAAGUAAGAGCAGAUGUGGCUGUACACAUCUGCAGUCCCAGUACUUGAGAGGCCUGGGACACGAGAAUUGGAAUUUGGUGGCCAUCUUGAGCUACGAGGGUUCAAAGUCAACCAGAGCUACAGGAUGAGACCUUAUCUCCAGCAACCAAACAAGCAGCCAACACUCCGACAAAGCAAGAAGAAAGAAGCUCACAAAGUGCUCUUGAAUCAUCGCAAAUACUGUUUCUCCUCAACAGAACUUGUGUUUCACUGCAGCUUUGAAUUGUCUCUAAGCAUCAUUUAUUCUGUCCUGGAGAGUGUGUAGCAGCCUCUACUUUUCUACCAUUUCAAACAGUUUCCAAGUUAUUGUGCUCAUAAGGCUCUGUUAGGCUUAUGCUGGCCGGAGGUAUUUUAAAAAGCAUUGCUAAUAUACAAUGGAUCAGUACAGUCUUAACAUACAUUCUAAUUAGUAAUUCUUGGAUUCAUAUAAAAUUUUAUUGAGGAUAUGUUUUUUAACAAAAUGGAUGAGUACUUUUGCAGUUGUUUAUGUGCCUACGAAUGACUAUGGAUAAAUAUGAUACAGGUAAAGUGUGAUACGGUUCAUUCCAAAACAGUGAAGAGCUAAUAGAGCUUGCUAACAUAAGCCAAGAGACAGAGGAGUUCCGUGAGGUAUAACUGGAUCUGGUUUUAGGUUUUUGAGUGUUUUUGUGGCACUGCUCACAGGAGUCUCCAUAUCAAUUAUCAAUCAAGAGAAUUCCCCACAGAAAUGCCAUCAGGCCAGUCUGAUGGAGAUGCUCUCUCCACUGAGAUUCCUCUUCCAAAUGACCCUGGAUCACGUCAAGUAGACAAAGACCAAUUAUAGGGCAUUUGUAUUUUGCCUUUUGAGGAUUGCCUGUUUAUUUCAUUAGCUCAUUUAUAGAUGGGGUUGUUUAAUUUCCUGGUCUUAAGUUCUUUACAUACAUACACCAGAUAUUAGUCUGUGUCAGAUGAGCCAAGCUCUUCCUGUUAGUCUCUUCACGGUUUCUUCCUUGGCUAUGCAGAAGGCUUUUGAUUCAUGACAUCCUAGCUGUCAGCUGGCAUUGCUUCCAGAGCACUUGAAGUCCUUGCCUAUGCCCAUGUCUUGAAGUCUCCUCCUCUUUCCUCUCACUCUUGCAGAGUUUAGGAUCCUUGUUCCCUCAGGAGCUGAUUUUUGGACAGGGUGAAAGAUAGGGAUGUCACCACAGCCCCUGCAUGUGAACACUCAGUUUCCCGCUUACUGAAGAAAGUGUCUUUUCUCCAAUGUGUAUUUUUGGCAUCUUUUGUCAAAAAUCAGGUUGCUCUAGCCAAAGGGUUUCACAUCUGCUCUAUUCUGCACAGCUGACGUGUGUGUCCAUGUCUGUGGCUGCUCAGUGUUCACUUUUCAAGAGACCCUGCUUCUCUGGUGACCUGUGCUCCCGACAGGACACCUUCCACACGGGGCCUUCAUGGUCACCAUCCCCUCCCCUUCGAUGCCGGUCAUUUUGCACUUGUUUGUCUUUUCUCUUUGUCUGCAUCUUACAGAUCCGUGUCUCUGCUUGUAGAUCCCACCAGGCCCAGACAGGAAAUGUUGGUCAAAACUGCUCUCAGCACUACCAUGGCCAUGUCUGCAUGGGCCACGUGCAGGUGGUCUGCUGUCAUCCUCAGAAAACUCAGUACAAUAGUGCCCAUGUAUUUACAUCGUGUGAUCUACUUUGGAUCAUCUAGAGAGGUUUUGAAGUGUACAGGCAAUGGAGUGGGCUUGCGAUACUAUGCCAUUUUAUAAGUGAGAUUAGAACAUCUGUGGAUUUUCUUUUUUUAAAUCCUGAAACCAAUCCACAAAACCCCAGAUACGGAGGACAAGUUUUAAUUCUGAGGUUGAAGUGAAUCUCAAUAGUAAGUCCAGGUUAGUAUCCCUCCCUCCCUCUCUCCCUC